UCUGUCCCUAGAGGCUUUGCAGGUGUGGCUGCUGUGCCACACGUGCAUCAGUAGGUGGCAGAGAGGAGAGAGAGACUAUGUCCUUGCUCAGUGUUCUGAGAUUUAGACAUCUGAAUGAUUAGUGCCCUAACAUU
ensembl:snoRNA Gm26416 predicted gene, 26416